rnacentral:tRNA from 1 species
GAGGUCUUAGUUUAACGGUAAAACAUGUGACUUUUAAUCGCUAUAAUGUGGGUUCAAAUCCCACAGGCCUUA